GAUGAACGCUGGCGGCGUGCCUAAUACAUGCAAGUCGAGCGAGCAGACGAGGAGCUUGCUCCUCUGACGUUAGCGGCGGACGGGUGAGUAACACGUGGAUAACCUACCUAUAAGACUGGGAUAACUUCGGGAAACCGGAGCUAAUACCGGAUAAUAUAUUGAACCGCAUGGUUCAAUAGUGAAAGACGGUUUUGCUGUCACUUAUAGAUGGAUCCGCGCCGCAUUAGCUAGUUGGUAAGGUAACGGCUUACCAAGGCAACGAUGCCUAGCCGACCUGAGAGGGUGAUCGGCCACACUGGAACUGAGACACGGUCCAGACUCCUACGGGAGGCAGCAGUAGGGAAUCUUCCGCAAUGGGCGAAAGCCUGACGGAGCAACGCCGCGUGAGUGAUGAAGGUCUUCGGAUCGUAAAACUCUGUUAUUAGGGAAGAACAAAUGUGUAAGUAACUAUGCACGUCCUGACGGUACCUAAUCAGAAAGCCACGGCUAACUACGUG
rnacentral:rRNA from 1 species